rnacentral:rRNA from 1 species
GAUUGUAGGCUGCAACUCGCCUACAUGAAGUCGGAAUUGCUAGUAAUCGCGGAUCAGCAUGCCGCGGCGAAUACGUUCCCGGGCCUUGUACACACCGCCCGUCACACCAUGGGAGUCGGUAACACCCGAAGCCUGUAGUCUAACCGCAAGGGGGACGCAGUCGAAGGUGGGAUUGAUGACUGGGGUGAAGUCGUAACAAGGUAAC